rnacentral:rRNA from 1 species
UGGGGGAUAUUGCACAAUGGGGGAAACCCUGAUGCAGCAACGCCGCGUGAAGGAAGAAGGUUUUCGGAUUGUAAACUUCUUUUAUUAGGGAAGAUAAUGACGGUACCUAAUGAAUAAGCCACGGCUAACUACGUGCCAGCAGCCGCGGUAAUACGUAGGUGGCAAGCGUUAUCCGGAAUUACUGGGUGUAAAGGGCGUGUAGGUGGGAAAUCAAGUCAGAUGUGAAAUGUGGGGGCUCAACCCCCAAGCUGCAUUUGAAACUGAUUUUCUUGAGUGAUGGAGAGGCAGAUGGAAUUCCCAGUGUAGCGGUGAAAUGCGUAGAUAUUGGGAGGAACACCAGUGGCGAAGGCGAUCUGCUGGACGUUAACUGACACUGAGGCGCGAAAGCGUGGGGAGCAAACA